rnacentral:rRNA from 1 species
UACGUAGGGGGCUAGCGUUGUCCGGAAUCAUUGGGCGUAAAGAGCGUGUAGGCGGUCCGGUAAGUCCGCUGUGAAAGUCGGGGGCUCAACCCUCGAAUGCCGGUGGAUACUGUCGGGCUAGAGUGCGGAAGAGGCGAGUGGAAUUCCUGGUGUAGCGGUGAAAUGCGCAGAUAUCAGGAGGAACACCUAUGGCGAAGGCAGCUCGCUGGGACGGUACUGACGCUGAGGCGCGAAAGCGUGGGGAGCAAACAGG